rnacentral:rRNA from 1 species
UACGUAGGGGGCAAGCGUUGUCCGGAAUCAUUGGGCGUAAAGAGCGCGUAGGCGGUCCGAUAAGUCGGCUGUGAAAGUCAGGGGCUCAACCCUUGAAAGCCGGCCGAUACUGUCGGACUAGAGUUCGGAAGAGGCGAGUGGAAUUCCCGGUGUAGCGGUGAAAUGCGCAGAUAUCGGGAGGAACACCAAUGGCGAAGGCAGCUCGCUGGGACGUGACUGACGCUGAGACGCGAAAGCGUGGGGAGCAAACAGG